rnacentral:rRNA from 1 species
GGAGGUAGUGACAAUAAAUCACAAUGCGGAACAAUGUUUUGCAAUUGGAUUGAGAACAACGUACAAACCUUAUCGAUAAACAAUUGGAGGGCAAGUCUGGUGCCAGCAGCCGCGGUAAUUCCAGCUCCAAUAGCGUAUAUUAACGUUGUUGCAGUUAAAAAGCUCGUAGUUGAAACGAAGGGUGGUGUUGUUGGGUUUACAUUCGUGUAUUUCUUACACCUCCUCCCUCCUUCUAAAUUCGAUAUAUGAGUAUUAAUUUACUUGUAUAUGGUUUUAGACAUUUACUGUGAGAAAAUUAGAGUGUUCAAAGCAGGCAUUUGCUUGAAUAUAUUAGCAUGGAAUAAUCAUGUAUGAUUUUCAUGAUGUAUUUGAUUGGUUUGGUUCAUGAGAAUAAGAUUAAAAGGGACAGUUGGGGGUAUUCAUAUUCAAUAGUCAGAGGUGAAAUUCUCGGAUUUAUGGAAGAUGAACAAGUGCGAAAGCA